CCUGGCGCGGGGGCCGCCGGGACGGCUCCGCCCCUUUCCGGACUCCUGGGCCCGCGACCCGUCGGGCGCAGCGCGGGGUCAGCGGGUCAGCGCGGGUCCGCGGGGUCAGGCUCGGCGGCCCGCGGGCGCAGGAUGUACACGCUGCUGUCGGGCCUGUACAAGUACAUGUUUCAGAAGGACGAGUACUGCAUCCUCAUCCUGGGUCUGGACAAUGCCGGGAAGACGACCUUCCUGGAGCAGUCAAAAACCCGGUUUAACAAGAACUAUAAGGGCAUGAGUCUAUCCAAAAUCACCACCACCGUGGGUCUAAACAUUGGCACUGUCGAUGUGGGAAAGUCUCGCCUCCUGUUCUGGGACUUAGGGGGGCAGGAGGAGCUGCAGUCUCUGUGGGACAAGUACUACGCAGAGUGCCAUGGUGUCAUCUAUGUCAUCGACUCCACUGACGAGGAGAGACUCUCGGAGUCCAAGCAAGCAUUCGAUGGUCACGAGUGAGGCCCUGGACGGUGUGCCCAUCCUGGUGCUGGCCAACAAGCAGGACAUUGAGACUUGUCUCUCGAUCCCUGACAUCAAGACAGCAUUCAGCGACUGCACC